rnacentral:rRNA from 1 species
UACGUAGGGGGCAAGCGUUGUCCGGAUUUAUUGGGCGUAAAGAGCGUGUAGGCGGCCUGAAAGGUCAGCUGUGAAAACUCGAGGCUCAACCUCGAGACGUCGGUUGAAACCAUCUGGCUAGAGUCCGGAAGAGGAGUGUGGAAUUCCCAGUGUAGAGGUGAAAUUCUUAGAUAUUGGGAAGAACACCGGUGGCGAAGGCGGCGAGCUGGUCCAUUACUGACGCUGAGGCGCGACAGCGUGGGGAGCAAACAGG